CAGUAGCGUAUAUUAAAGUUGUUGCAGUUAAAAUGCUCGUAGUUGAAGUUCGGAUGCAGCAGAGCUUGGAAACGCUGUUAUGGUGCUUCCGUUGCUUUUGCUUGUCCGCAGUGCGUUGCAAGUACGUAUGUGCUUGUGCGUGCAUUUUACUUUGAGAAACAUAGGGUGUUCCACGCAUGUUACGGCAUGAAUAUUCCAGCAUGGGAUAAUCUGGUACGACUUCCAAUCUGCCAUUUUGGUUCGUAGGUUGGAAGUAAUGAUUAAUAGGGACUGUCGGGGGCAUUGGUAUUUGACUGUCAGAGGUGAAAUUCUUAGAUUCGUUGAGGACCAACCACUGCGAAAGCAUUUGUCAUGGAUGUCUCCAUUAA
rnacentral:rRNA from 1 species